rnacentral:misc_RNA from 1 species
GAAAUGUGAUAAGUAGUGUGAAUUGCAGAAUUCAGUGAAUCAUCGAAUCUUUGAACGCACAUUGCGCCCUUUGGUAUUCCUUAGGGCAUGCCUGUUCGAGCGUCAUCUAAACCUUCAAGCCCUGCUUGGUGUUGGGUGCCUGUCCCGCCUCCGCGCGCGGACUCACCUCAAAUCCAUUGGCGGCCCCCGCGUCGGCCACGAGCGCAGCAGAAACGCGAACUCGUGAGCCCGUCCGGGCGGCUCCCAGAAGCUACACCCACCCAGUUUGACCUCGGAUCAGGUAGGGAUACCCGCUGAACUUAAGC